rnacentral:lncRNA from 1 species
GCAUGAUGUGGCGCUGACGUGCCGAAAGGAGAAUAGAGGAAAUGUAACUUUAUAUAUAUAGAUUAAGGACAUAAGGAAUGAAAAGCGUAUGUGAACUUUUUUUUUUUUUGCUAUUUGAAGAAAUAUGAAGAGGGUUAUAGGGAUAUAAGUAGAUGUUGGGUAUUCUCAGUACUUCUACCUUAUAAGAAUCCGUACGAUCUGAUGCUGGCUUUGGUGGUUCCUCGUGAGUUAUUGGUUAUUGGGUUAAGCCAUUUGUUUUUACAUGGUCAC